UCGUCGCGGUGCUGUUCACCCCGCUGCUCCGCGUCGCCAUCCUGCCUGCCAAAAUGAAGGGUCAUCAUGACGAGAAGGGCCGGGUGGCGCAAAUGUUUGCGCGUUUGCUUUUCUUCUGUAUGCAUCACCGAUGGACCACGAUCGGGGUGACUGUUGCGGCCUUUCUGAUCGCCUUGUUUGGCAUGAAGUUCAUACCGCAGCAGUUCUUUCCGUCCUCUGACCGCAG
rnacentral:misc_RNA from 1 species